ACCCUUGCAUGUAUAAACCACUCCUGGAAAACUGUCUAGAUAAGUGCUCUCGAGCCCUUAUACAUAUGUAAUACCUCCAUUGUUCCCUAAAAGUUUGUUUGACUUGGGCAUCGAAGGUCCUUCGCCGGACACUCUCUAGUAAGAGAAUUUCUUCAUCUUUGUGUUGUUUCAUAUUAGAUUAGCAUCAGUAUGAAAGUCUGAGCAUGGCCUCCACC
rnacentral:lncRNA from 1 species